rnacentral:misc_RNA from 1 species
UUUCCGUAGGUGAACCUGCGGAAGGAUCAUUCAUAAUAAAGUGUUUUAUGGCGCUUUUUAAAAGUCCAUAUCCACCUUGUGUGCAAUGUUAGAUCUCGUCAAUCUUGUCGAGAGUUUUAUACAUCAACACAUACUUUAACUCAUUUGUCUGAAAAAUAUUAUGAAUACUUAAUUCAAAAUACAACUUUCAACAACGGAUCUCUUGGCUCUC